rnacentral:rRNA from 1 species
GGAAGUUUUCGGAUGGAAGCGGAUAUGACUUAGCGGCGGACGGGUGAGUAACGCGUGGAUAACCUGCCUCAUACAGGGGGAUAACAGUUAGAAAUGACUGCUAAUACCGCAUAAGCGCACAGGACCGCAUGGUCUGGUGUGAAAAACUCCGGUGGUAUGGGAUGGAUCCGCGUCUGAUUAGCUGGUUGGUGAGGUAACGGCCCACCAAGGCGACGAUCAGUAGCCGACCUGAGAGGGUGGCCGGCCACAUUGGGACUGAGACACGGCCCAAACUCCUACGGGAGGCAGCAGUGGGGAAUAUUGCACAAUGGGGGAAACCCUGAUGCAGCAACGCCGCGUGAGUGAAGAAGUAUUUCGGUAUGUAAAGCUCUAUCAGCGGGGAAGAAGAAAGACGGUACCUGACUAAGAAGCCCCGGCUAACUACGUGCCAGCAGCCGCGGUAAUACGUAGGGGGCAAGCGUUAUCCGGAUUUACUGGGUGUAAAGGGAGCGUAGACGGCUGUGCAAGUCUGAAGUGAAAGCCCGUGGCUCAACCGCGGAACUGCUUUGGAAACUGUAUAGCUUGAGUACUGGAGAGGCAGGCGGAAUUCCU